UGGUUUCUGAGGCUUCCAGGGGUCAUAUCAUGUCUCCCCAGUGAGGGUGCGGGGUCAGGCGCCCAGCCGCACCUGCUGAGUGUGCCCGAGUUGUGCAGAUACCUGGCUGAGAGCUGGCUCACCUUCCAGAUUCACCUGCAAGAGCUGUUGCAGUACAAGAGGCAGAAUCCAGCUCAGGUAAACCUCAUCCCACAAUGGUUGCAGGAGCCAGGGGCUGGGAGAGGAGUGACAUGCGCAGUGUCGAUUGUAAAUUUCUUCAGUCAGUUCCCAUUUUUUCUACCAGAUAAAUAAUAGUUUCUUCCCCUGAUGAUUGUGCACAUGGUUUAAGCCUAGUGUUCUUCAUAGACCCUGUGCUCUUCUCUGCAGUUCUGUGCUCGAGUCUGUUCUGGCUGUGCUGUGCUAGCUGUGUUGGGACACUAUGUUCCAGGAAUUAUGAUUUCCUACAUUGUCUGUGAGUAGACUCAUCCCUGCUGUUUCCACAGCCCUUCCUGUUCUUCUUUCCCUGGUUGACCCAAAGGGAAGACUGCAUUUUCUUUGUUAGUUAGCCAUCUGGGGAGGAGAGUACUAGAUGAGGGAAGAGGUUGUCACUGCCUUAGAAAAGGAUGUUCAGACCUACCUGUUUAGGAGACAGUUUGGGUGUAGGUUCCUAGGCAAGUGGCCUACUGAGCUCUGAGUGGACUUUCUAACCCAUAGUGCUAAGUAUCCUGCUGUGGCCCCUGGUGGUUUAUCAUGAAUUGAUCCAGAGGAUGUAUACUCGCCUGGAGCCCUUGCUCAUGCAGCUGGACUACAGUAUGAAGGCAGAAGCCGAUGCCCUUCACCACAAACAUGACAAGAGAAGUAAGGGAUUCUCUUAACCUGGACAGGAGAGGCAGAGAGAGCCUGUAGUUUAUGGCUCAUAGUGUGUCCUGGAAUUUAAAUCAUUUCCAGUUCCUUAGCCGUAUUUAUCACCACCAUUAUCUUUGCUCAUCGUUGCUUUAUUGCCCUUCUCUAGAGCGUCAAGGGAAGAAUGCACCCCCAGCAGGAGAUGAGCCACUGGCAGAAACAGAGAGUGAAAGCGAGGCAGAGUUGGCUGGCUUCUCUCCAGUGGUGAGGUCCAGGGACAAUGGGGUGUCAAAUAGAAGGCCAAAGGGAGGCUGGGUAUUGUGAUGCACACAUGUAAUCUUAUUUGAGAGGAGGAAGCAGAAGGAUCAAGAAUUCAAGACAAGCCUGGUUUUCAUUAUGAGUUUGAGAUCAACCAGACUACAUAAGACCUCUAUCUCCAAAGAAAAGAAAAAGGAAAAGGCAGAGGGAGGGGCGAGAAUGUAUCUGCUUUAGAGCUACCUGUUCU
rnacentral:lncRNA from 1 species